ACACCAGUCAGACGUAUCAAGAUGAUCUCACAGGCUCAGCUCAUCUGGCUGUUAGUCCUCUGGAUCCAGGACUCCAGCGGGCAGAUUGUGCUGACUCAGACUCCAGAAUCCCUGGCAGUGUCUCCUGGAGACACAGUUACUAUCCGCUGCAAAGCCAGUUCAAGCCUCACCAGUGGUGGCUAUCACUACUUAGCCUGGUACCAACAGAAAUCAGGACAAGCUCCGAAGCUCCUUAUCUAUCUUGCUUCUACCCUGCAAUCCGGGGUCCCGGCCCGGUUCAAAGGCAGUGGGUCUGGCACUGAUUACACCCUCACAAUCAGUAAGGUUGAAGCUGAAGAUGCUGGAGAUUAUUACUGUCAGCAGUCCCGCAGCUACCCUCUCACAGUGAUUCAGACCAAUACAAAAACCUCCCCAUCCUGUUCCUUUCAGGGUAACAGCUGCUUCCUAUCCAUAGUGUAA